rnacentral:rRNA from 1 species
GUGUCAGCAGCCGCGGUAAGACGAGGGGUCCAAGCGUUGUUCGGAAUCAUUGGGCGUAAAGCGGGUGUAGGUGGCUCUAUAAGUCAGGAGUGAAAGCCCCGAGCUUAACUCGGGAAGUGCUUUUGAUACUGUAGAGCUUGAGUGUGGGAGAGGAUCGUGGAAUUCCAGGUGUAGUGGUGAAAUACGUAGAUAUCUGGAGGAACACCGGUGGCGAAGGCGGCGAUCUGGCCCAACACUGACACUGAGACCCGAAAGCAUGGGGAUCAAACAGGAUUAGAAACCCUAGUAGUCC